ACCUCAGUUCCCUGUAUGUCCUUUCCUCCAGUUCCCUGUAUGUCCUUUCCUAGUGUACGAACUAGGUGUCAUUCCAUAGGUUAGCUGUCUGGAGUGGAAACAUUAUUUUCCUGUUCGCUGUGGAUAAAGGAGAUGGCUGUGUGGAAAACUGUUCUUGAAAACGAAAAGUUAACGUUGCUGAUGUUGUCUUCACAGUACCUGGUCAGCGUUCCACUGAAGAUGCUGAGGCCAUGGGCUUUUAUGGGCAUGAUGGCUCAGCUUCCGCUGGCCUGGUUUGUGGCGCGUUUUCUCCGAGGUAACUAUGGCAACGCAGCCGUAUGGAUCUCUCUCAUCAUUGGCCAGCCAAUCGCCGUGCUCAUGUACGUCCACGACUACUAUGUACUUCACUACAGAGAGGGGUCGGCGGGGGGUGGACCUGAAUGACCUCCUCAGGGGAAUAUUUACCAGACCAGCCUUUUAUAGGAAAGACAAAUAGAGCUAGAAAUGUACUGUAUGGUACUUUAUGAAAGCACCUUAAAGGGGCAAUCAGCAUUUGCUACAUCCAUUUUUGGACUCAUACAUUAAUGAUAUGUACCAUUCGAUUCUUGAAGAACAACUUCUAAAUGUCUCACCAGCUUAGUUCAACUGUCGCUCUCCAUCACAAACCUAAAUAUAAGAUUGUAUUUACUCCAAUAUUUGGAAACAAAGAAUGUAAACAAACACUAUAUAGCCUCAAAACAUGGUUAAAACUAUACUUUUUUAUAUUGGAUGGUCAAUCGUUGCAUCCAUAGCUCUGUCCAUGAAUUUGAAAGUGAUAACAUUUCUCCAGUCCCAUCCCUCAGCGUUUACUGAACCAGGGGUGGGGAGGCAGCUUUGUUAUUGUUUCAACUGCUGAUUGCCACUUUAAAGAUAACACACUUCUUAUAGAAACAAUCAAUAUAGUUAGUGAAUAUUAGAAUAUGCCUUAUUGAAUCAUGUCUGACAAGUGCAAUUUUCAAAAAGUGCCAGUUUCUCAGAAAAUGUGCACAACCAGUACAUGUGUGUUUGUAAGAUUUAUGUGUUUUUAUGCCACUCAGGCCUCAAUAUUUAGUCAUCGUGUUUUACUUGGGUACGUAUAGAGGGAAAUGUAGAGAUAGGAAAAUGGCAGCUGGUGAUUCUUGACUUUAGUCCGUUAAUUGGGUCAUUAUUAUGUUGCCGACAGAACUACAUGGACAAGUAAAUAUAUUUCUCUAUUUA